UACAGGGGGUGCAAACGUUGCUCGGAAUUAUUGGGCGUAAAGCGCGCGUAGGCGGCUACUUAAGUCGGAUGUGAAAGCCCUUGGCUUAACUGAGGAAGUGCAUCCGAAACUGGCAGACUGGAGUACUGCAGGGGAGACUGGAAUUCCUGGUGUAGCGGUGGAAUGCGCAGAUAUCAGGAGGAACACCGGUGGCGAAGGCGGGUCUCUGGGCAGUAACUGACGCUGAGGAGCGAAAGCGUGGGGAGCGAACAGG
rnacentral:rRNA from 1 species